rnacentral:rRNA from 1 species
GACUACAGGGGUAUCUAAUCCCGUUCGCUCCCCUGGCUUUCGAGCCUCAGUGUCAGUUACAGUCCAGAAAGCCGCCUUCGCCACUGGUGUUCCUCCUAAUAUCUACGCAUUUCACCGCUACACUAGGAAUUCCGCUUUCCUCUCCUGCACUCAAGAAAAAUAGUUUCCACUCCCUCACGGGGUUGAGCCCCGCACUUUUAAAGCAGACUUACUUUCCCACCUGCGCUCCCUUUACGCCCAAUAAUUCCGGACAACGCUCGCCACCUACGUAUUACCGCGGCUGCUGGCACGUAGUUAGCCGUGGCUUCCUCGUCAGGUACCGUCAUGAGAGAGUGUUGUUGAUACUCCCCCUGCUCGUCCCUGACAACAGAGCUUUACGAUUCGAAAACCUUCUUCACUCACGCGGCGUUGCUCCGUCAGACUUUCGUCCAUUGCGGAAGAUUCCCCACUGCAGCCCCCCGUAGG